rnacentral:rRNA from 1 species
AACGAACGCUGGCGGCAUGCCUAACACAUGCAAGUCGAACGAGACCUUCGGGUCUAGUGGCGCACGGGUGCGUAACGCGUGGGAAUCUGCCCUUGGGUUCGGAAUAACAGUUGGAAACGACUGCUAAUACCGGAUGAUGACGUAAGUCCAAAGAUUUAUCGCCCAAGGAUGAGCCCGCGUAGGAUUAGCUAGUUGGUGAGGUAAAGGCUCACCAAGGCGACGAUCCUUAGCUGGUCUGAGAGGAUGAUCAGCCACACUGGGACUGAGACACGGCCCAGAGUCCUACGGGAGGCAGCAGUGGGGAAUAUUGGACAAUGGGCGAAAGCCUGAUCCAGCAAUGCCGCGUGAGUGAUGAAGGCCUUAGGGUUGUAAAGCUCUUUUACCCGGGAUGAUAAUGACAGUACCGGGAGAAUAAGCUCCGGCUAACUCCGUG